CCGGCCCUCAACAAGUCCGCGUCGGCUCUGUUACCGUAGAGGCUUAGCCACGGUAGCAUUGCGUCUAACCUCACUGUGGUUAUGCCUCGGGGCAGUGGAUGCUGAACCAGGCGCCGGAGAUCCACCAGCGAUCUCGUCUUUCCCUUUCUUAAAGCACCGUUGGAGAGCAUGAGCUCCCCCACACCCAGAGCACUCAUGCUUAAACCUGCACAGCGAACCCCACUUACACUGGCCCUCGUUGAAAAGCCGGCAAAUACCUUUCCUAAAUGCAGCCGACGAGGCAGACUGACCCCC